CUUAUCCCAUCUCUCCCCCUAUCCCUUUCCAAGCCCGGCACAGUCUAGACCUGUGAAGGCUGUUUCAUCAUGAGCCGGGGAUCCGGCCGAAGAUUUCUGCCUUUUAAUAAGGCAGUUUUUUCUUACCACUGUAACUUUUGCUGCUUUGCUGAAGUGCUCAUGAUGGAUAGGCUGGAUCUUUGUAACAUAGCAAUAAGUAAGAUCUUUUACCUGCUUUUUGUAACAUAACAAUGAGUAAGGUCUUUUACCUGCUUUUUGUAAAGUGUCUCGAGAUAACACUUGUUAUGAGUUGACACUAUACAAAUAAAAAUUGAUUGAUUGAUUGAAAUAAAAGUAAUAAUUCUAUACCAUUGCCAAAAACCCUCCAAACAAACUUUACUUUUGGUCAGUCUUUUUCUUAACAUCUGAUGGGUGUGUAAUUAUGAUGUGUUGAUAAGCACAUGCAGUGUAUUUAAUCAAUAAACCUCUAUGUAAUAUGA